AUCUCUAGCUGGAGAUCCUUCCUCUUGGAGCCCUUCUGCAAGCCCAGGACAUGGUUCCAGGUACCUGUUUGGAAGAGAAGAAGAACUAUGUUUCCCCAAGAGCCUUUCUGAGUACUGUUAUCAUUCCUGCUCAAGGGAACAGAUAUAAGGGUGCAGGUCAUCUUACUCUCCUCUCUUCUCGUCUUGCCGUGUUCUGUGUUGGAUCGGCUUGCUGCUGAUGCUCCCAACUAUACAGAUGAAUAAUGCCAAAUCAGAUGCCCUAAGGCAAUGGAAUAUUUCAUGCAGAGCAGAGACACAGGACUUAAGGAUGAUCCCCAAGCUUCUACACCAGCAACUAUCUCACAGAGCAUCCUAAGGAAAUGUGGAACAAGACAUUUUUAUGCUAACAACUGAACCAUGCCCUCUGUUUCUUUAUAUAUAGCACUAUUUUCCCUCUGAAGCUAAGUCAGUCAGAUACAAAACAUAUUUUGAGUUCUUGAAUUAGAAAAGCAAGACAUACAUAUGUUAUAUGAUCCCAAGGUGACUAUCCAAUCAUAAAGUCAGCUUACAAUCUUCUCUCAGUGGGAAGGUAUCAGAUAUGAAAUCCAAUCAUUUAAUAUUUUAAAGAACUUAAUGCUUGAAGCAAAUCCAAAAAUAUCUUAGAAUUCACAGUUCUAUUAAAAUUUACAUGAAGUCCAUGGCAGUGUUGGCCUACAUUUGCAGCAAUUAAGAAAAUAAUACAAUUAACAUCAAUUUCAAUUAAUUUUACCCUGGUUUCCUACUUAUAACAGACGUGCAAUUAUUUUAGGAUUCUUUGAAGUAGGAGAAAACAUUAUCCAAGUGGGAGAAAUACACAAUACAGUUACCACAUGCAGAAGCAGUCUAUUUGCAUAAUUAUAUAGCAAAACUUAUGACAAAGGCUAAGAUAUUAAAAUAACUUUCAUUAGAUUUCUAAAUUCACUUUUAUCUUUAAAGGUCUGCUUUCAUCCCUUUCAAUACUUGGGGAAAAAAAAUGCAGCUACUUUACAUUGUAAUUAUGCUUAUUCGUAAACUACCUUGUACUUGUGAAAACUAAAACGAACAAACAAAAAACAUUUUUCAGAUUUUAAAUAAUCUUGGAAUUUCAUUCUGUCAGGUAAACACAAGUCCAGGAAAGAAAAAUAUGUAGUAGUAUGUACUGAGUCUAAGGUAAAAACAGAAAUUGCAAAUACACUCUAGAAAUUAUAUAGCAGCAAAUUAACUGUGAAAGUAUGUAACAACUGUGCUGGUGUGCUUCAGCAUUUAUGCUGCAAAGUAUACCAAACUAUGCUUUUAAAUACACUCAAAGAAAGAAUGCAGUUUUUGAAGCCAGAAAGAUUUUUGCAUGGCUGAAUUUAGUUUGUGAAACUGCUGAAUAUAGUCUUGAAGUUUUAUUGAAAUGAAAACCAAAAGUUACCAAUUUCAUUGUCUAUUUGUGAUGUCUGAGCAUUACCUGUGGCUUGUCUUGCGCUGUUGCAAGAAGCAAUGUCUGUGUUAGAAGCUGAAUUUUUGCUUCUGACUUAAUAUAGCAAAAAUAAGCAUCACAGAAAAGUAUGUUUCUGUGUUAAGAUUUUUAUCCCCUGAUCAUCAACAUGUAGAAUUAAAUACAAUGCAGACCUCUUAGAACAAUACAGCUAUUCUCAGAGUGAAAACAGUAUUUUCAUAGAAAAGCAGUCUCAAGCUCAAAUAUACCAUAACUAGUUUCUGCCUGUCUAGAAAUGAAGUUGCUUGCACUGGUAUUUAAAUUUCCUGUUGAAACAAUAUCCAGGGAAUAGAUAACCAAUAAUACACAAAUAUUCCAUUAUGGAAGUGACCAUUUUGCUAAAAUGGGGCCAAAUUAUUAAUUUUAACUAUAUUAACUGCCUUUCUUAGCUGACAGCUCUUUCUUCACUGUUGUAUUAGAUACACUGAAAUUAUUAGGAGUACUUGAAAAACCAGUACUCAAAACUAGCAGACUUUCACAGUGUACUCCUACAGUGUAUUGAGCCAUGUCUCUGACAUUUGACAAAAUUUAAAUGCACGCUACUGCUAUCUGUAAUGUUCCAGGAACUGCUUGGAAAUUACAGGCAACAUCUUGGGAAUGACAAUAAUAAAUAAGCUUGUAUGAACUCAUUAUGCUUGUUCCAAUAUGAUGACAUUUUUAAGAAUAAACACAUUUUUAUUU
ensembl:lncRNA